rnacentral:rRNA from 1 species
AGUGAACGCUGGCGGUAGGCCUAACACAUGCAAGUCGAACGGCAGCACAGUAAGAGCUUGCCCUUACGGGUGGCGAGUGGCGGACGGGUGAGGAAUACAUCGGAAUCUACUUUUUCGUGGGGGAUAACGUAGGGAAACUUACGCUAAUACCGCAUACGACCUACGGGUGAAAGCAGGGGAUCUUCGGACCUUGCGCGAUUGAAUGAGCCGAUGUCGGAUUAGCUAGUUGGCGGGGUAAAGGCCCACCAAGGCGACGAUCCGUAGCUGGUCUGAGAGGAUGAUCAGCCACACUGGAACUGAGACACGGUCCAGACUCCUACGGGAGGCAGCAGUGGGGAAUAUUGGACAAUGGGCGCAAGCCUGAUCCAGCCAUACCGCGUGGGUGAAGAAGGCCUUCGGGUUGUAAAGCCCUUUUGUUGGGAAAGAAAAGCAGCAGGUUAAUACCCCGCUGUUCUGACGGUACCCAAAGAGUAAGCACCGGCUAACUUCGUG